GACGAACGCUGGCGGCGUGCCUAAUACAUGCGAGUAGAACGCUGAAGAGAGGAGCUUGCUCUUCUUGGAUGAGUUGCGAACGGGUGAGUAACGCGUAGGUAACCUGCCUUGUAGCGGGGGAUAACUAUUGGAAACGAUAGCUAAUACCGCAUAACAAUGGAUGACACAUGUCAUUUAUUUGAAAGGGGCAAUUGCUCCACUACAAGAUGGACCUGCGUUGUAUUAGCUAGUAGGUGAGGUAAUGGCUCACCUAGGCGACGAUACAUAGCCGACCUGAGAGGGUGAUCGGCCACACUGGGACUGUGACACGGCCCAGACUCCUACGGGAGGCAGCAGUAGGGAAUCUUCGGCAAUGGGGGCAACCCUGACCGAGCAACGCCGCGGGAGUGAAGAAGGUUUUCGGAUCGUAAAGCUCUGUUGUAAGUCAAGAACGGGUGUGAGAGUGGAAAGUUCACACUGUGACGGUAGCUUAACAGAAAGGGACGGCUAACUACGUG
rnacentral:rRNA from 1 species